rnacentral:rRNA from 1 species
GAAAGGUAUGCUAAUACGGGAUAAUAUAUUUGAGAGGCAUCUCUUAAAUAUCAAAGGUGAGCCAGUACAGGAUGGACCCGCGUCUGAUUAGCUAGUUGGUAAGGUAACGGCUUACCAAGGCGACGAUCAGUAGCCGACCUGGGAGGGUGAUCGGCCACAUUGGAACUGAGACACGGUCCAAACUCCUACGGGAGGCAGCAGUGGGGAAUAUUGCACAAUGGGCGAAAGCCUGAUGCAGCAACGCCGCGUGAGUGAUGAAGGCCUUCGGG